rfam:Ovis aries breed Texel chromosome 16, whole genome shotgun sequence.
UCCCUGGUGGCUCAGAUGGUAAAGCGUCUGCCUACAAUGUGGGAGACCCAGGUUCAAUCCCUGGGUUGGGAA